ensembl:rRNA 5S_rRNA 5S ribosomal RNA
GUCUACGGCCACACCACACUGAACACACCCGAUCUCAUCGGACCUCAGAAGCCAAGCAGUACUUGGAUGGGAGAAAUAUACAUUCAUGAGGGGAAUGUCCCUAGGCC